UUCCCGCAGCGGCUGAUGGGGCGCGGAGACUGCGCUGCCGCCGGCGUCUGCACCAUGGUGACGAGCGGCGGUGGGGCCAGGGUAGCCAUGGCGGCUUGGUCCACCUUCGCCGCGGCUGUGAACGUAUUCCUCCUGUUGGCCCUCCCGCGAGUCUCACACGCCCAGACCUUCUCAUUUCCAUUCCUGCAGCCGGAGUCGUGCGGCCACAACCAGUACUUCGAUAUCUCCGCGCUGUCCUGUGUGCCGUGUGGAGCCAACCAGAGGCAGGAUGCCCGAGGAACUUCAUGUGUGUGUUUACCAGGAUUUCAGAUGAUCUCUAAUAAUGGAGGACCUGAUAUUAUUUGUAAAAAGUGCCCGGAAAACAUGAAAGGUGUUACUGAAGAUGGCUGGAAUUGCAUUUCUUGCCCUGGUGGUUUAACUGCAGAAGGAAAAUGCCACUGUCCUACUGGCCAUGUUUUAGUGGAAAGAGAUGUUAACGGAACAUUGUUGUCUCAAGCAACUUGUAAGCUCUGUGACGAAAAUGAAAACUCUUUUACAGUAGCAAAUGCUUUAGGAAACAGAUGUGUUCGAUGUGAGCCAACAUUCGUCAAUACCAACAGGUCCUGUGUGUGUUCGGAACCGAACAUUUUAACCGGGGGAUUAUGUUUCAGCAGCACAGUGAAUUUUCCUUCACGUGUAAUUUCAUCUGCCCGUUAUGGAGAACUUGGCAUGUCUUUCACUUCAGAAUGGUUUGCAAAGUAUUUGCAGUCAUCAGCAGCUGCUUGUUGGGUGUAUGCCAAUCUAACAUCUUGCCAAGCUCUCGGAAAUAUGUGUGUGAUGAACAUGAAUUCUUAUGACUCUGUCACUUUUGAUGCAUGCCGACUAUUUCAGUUUAUCUUUGAAAAUACUGGACUGCGCACUGUUCAUUCUAUUUCAUUUUGGAGACGGAAUCUUCCAUGGCUCUUCUAUGGAGACCAGCUAGGAUUAGCACCUCAAGUACUCAGUACCAUACCUCUUCCUACAAAUUUCAGUUUUAAAGGGGAAAACCAGAAUAGAAAACUGAAGUUUAUUGCUGCUUCCUAUGAUGUAAGAGGGAAUUUUCUCAAGUGGCAGACAUUAGAAGGAGGUGUUUUACAGCUUUGUCCAGACACAGAGACAAGACUGAAUGCUGCUUAUUCUUUUGGAACAACCUAUCACCAAAACUGUGAGAUUCCUAUUUCUAAGAUCUUAACCGACUUUCCCUCUCCUAUAUUUUAUGAUGUGUACCUUGAAUAUACUGAUGAAAAUCAACACCAGUAUGUUUGGGCUGUGCCUGUGUUAAACCUAAAUCUUCAGCACAAUAAAAUAUUUGUAAACCGAGACAGUAGCCCCGGCAAGUGGCUUCUGACUCGGCGCAUUUUCUUAGUGGAUGCACUAAGUGGACGGGAAAAUGACUUAGGAAGUCAGCCAAGAUUAACUCGAAUUGCUACCCAAAUAUCACUGAGCAUCUACCUUGUGCCCAACACAAAAAAUGGAAACAUUUACCCUCCCUUAAUUACCAUUGCCUACAGCGACAUUGAUAUCAAAGAUCCCAACAGCCAGUCUGUGAAGGUUUCUUUCUCAGUCAAAUAUGAAAUGAAUCAAGGAGAAGCACAAGUCCAGACAGAUAUUGCUUUAGGCGUUUUGGGUGGGCUGGCUGUUUUAUCAUCUCUUUUGAAGACAGCAGGAUGGAAGAGGCGCAUUGGGAGUCCCAUGAUUGAUUUACAGACAGUUAUGAAAUUCUUGGUGUACUAUGCUGGUGAUCUGGCCAAUGUUUUCUUCAUCAUCACUGUGGGAACAGGUCUAUAUUGGCUUAUUUUCUUCAAAGCACAGAAAUCUAUCUCUGUUUUGCUACCAGUGCCAGCUCAGGAAGAACGUCUUGUUACUUAUGUGGGAUGUGCUUUUGCUCUGAAGGCUCUGCAAUUUUUGCAUAAGCUUAUGUCCCAGAUUACCAUAGAUAUAUUCUUUAUUGACUGGGAGCGACCUAAAGGAAAGGUUCUGAAAGCUGUUGAAGGUGAGGGCGGUGUUCGCAGUGCCAUGGUUCCUGUGAGCAUAUGGAGAACAUAUUUUGUAGCAAAUGAAUGGAAUGAAAUUCAAACUGUGAGAAAAAUUAAUCCACUCUUCCAAAUACUUACUGUCCUCUUUUUUUUGGAGGUUGUAGGAUUCAAGAACUUAGCAUUAAUGGACUCAUCCUCUAGUCUUUCCAGAAGCCCAACUAGCUAUAUAGCUCCCUAUAGCCGCAUUUUAAGAUACGCAGUGUCUACUGCUCUUUGGCUAGUCAUUGGAAGUUUACAGAUCAUGUUCUUUGCUGUCUUUUAUGAGAGAUUUAUAGAAGAUAAAAUUCGACAGUUUGUGGAUUUAUGCUGUAUGAGCAAUAUAUCAGUGUUUCUGUUAUCCCACAAAUGUUUUGGAUAUUACAUUCAUGGUAGAUCAGUACAUGGGCAUGCAGAUACUAAUAUGGAAGAAAUGAAUAUGAAUCUUAAAAGAGAAGCGGAAAACUUGUGUAGCCAGAGAGGUUUGGUACCAAACACAGACGGUCAGACUUUUCAGAUUGCAAUUUCCAGCCAGAUGAGACAACACUAUGACAGAAUUCAUGAGACACUAACAAGGAAAAAUGGCCCUGCCAGACUAUUGAGUUCAUCGGCAAGUACAUUUGAGCAGAGUAUAAAAGCAUAUCAUACUAUGAAUAAAUUUCUUGGCUCUUUCAUCGAUCAUGUUCAUAAGGAAAUGGACUACUUUAUAAAAGAUAAAUUGCUUCUUGAAAGAAUUCUUGGAAUUGAAUUCAUGGAGCCAAUGGAAAAAAGCAUCUUUUACAAUGAUGAAGGAUAUUCUUUCAGCAGUGUCCUGUAUUAUGGAAAUGAAGCCACUCUUCUUAUUUUUGAUGUGCUGUUCUUCUGUGUUGUGGAUUUGGCUUGCCAAAAUUUUGUUCUAGCAGCCUUCCUUACAUACCUACAACAAGAGAUUUUUAGAUUUAUACGUAACACAGUAGGACAGAAGAAUUUGGCAUCCAAAACAUUGGUGGAUCAAAGAUUUCUGAUUUAAUUUUGUGAAUAAAUUCAAAGACAACAUAGCUGUGGCAAAAACAGUCAUGAUCAUCAGAAAUACAGAGACGGAUAAAGGCUGGGGCCUAGGCUCUCCCCUUGCUCUAGUUCUGCCUCCUGACCAGCACUGGUGCUUCCCCAUGCGGCUCCGUGUGACGUGGGUGCCUGCACGGUAUGGCACGCUCUUGUUUGUAAGACCGUGAGUAUAAGAACUUCUGUUUUCCUGAGCCUCUCCUGUGUCUCUUCUUGUGACCCCACCUGACCAUCACGUAAAAGAACACAGAACAGUACAUUUGGGGGUUUUAGAAGGAGAUGAGGUUGGAAAGGAAAAUAGGAGCUGUAUCAUGAAAGAUUUUUACAUCACGCCACAGUGUAUAAAAAGUUCAACCAAGCUAAGCUUACCGGCUGAAUACUUUACCCCAAAGAGUGAGUGAAUGGACAGAGGCUGCAUGAAAGGAUCGUCUUCCACAGUCAAAUUGCCCUGGAGUACUUGGUGGUCCAUGGGCUAGGAGACUGGUGGUUCUGCUGUCUGUUGCCUGGCAUAUCAUGUUUCAUUAAAAAAAAAAAAAAAAAAAAAAAAAGCAUUGCCUAUAAGACCAGCGGCAAAGGGUAGUGGUUGACAACAGAAUCUGGAGCCAAACUCACUGUACUCAACUUCUGGCUCUUACUAGCUGAAUGAUUCGGAGCAAGUUACUUACCUCCCUGUGACUAAAUUUCUUGCUCCUUAAGAGGGAAUAAUAGUACCUACCUCUAGAGUUUCGGGGAAGAUUGAAUGAGUUACUGAGUAUACAGUGCUUAGGAGACUGCCUGGCACAUAGCUAAUACUAUGCCAGUGUUACCAUGUAGUAGUAGAAGUAGCAGUAGUAAGUCCUAUUCAUAUUUAAUUCUGAAAGAAAGACCCGGGUUAGUCUCUCUGGGGCCGGCCUUAGGACACUGUGACAUUGUGGAGAGUGCUAGAAGUAGUGGUGGACAAACUGCCCAACACAGAGCAGUCUGUGGGCUUUAAAAAUAACUUCGCAUUUAUUAUCAUUAUUGUUACCAAAAAAAAAAAAAAAGACAUGGCUGUGGAUCUUCCCAGGAUAAACAAAUGACCACUGGAAUGAAAUAUAGAAACAGAUCCACAGACCCACAGUCACUUGAUCUAUGGCAUGCAGUGCAGUGAGGACAGGGUGUUUUUUCAAUGGUCUAUUGAAUAUCACAACAGAAAAAAAAAACCUAGAAUCCUUACCCCUAUGUCACACCUACACAAAAAUCAAUUUCAGGUAGAUCGUAGAUCUAAAUGUGAAAGGUUAAAUGCUAAAGCCUCUAGAUGGUAACACAGGACAAUAUAUUCAUAACUUUGCUGUAGGCCAAGAUUUCUUUAGACCCAGAAAAGAUUAACCUUAAAGGAAAACAUUGGUAAGUUGGACUUUACAACUUACAUUAAAUUUGCACUUACAUAUAUUUCCAUUAAAUGUAAAUGUAAAUUUGCAAUUUACAUUGAAAUUAAGAACUCUGUUCAUCAAAAGUUACAAUUGUAAGAAGGAAAAGGCAAGCCUCCAUAUGAAAAAAAUUUCGAAACAUAUUAUCUGACAAGGCACUUCCAUCCAGAAUAAAGAACUCAUCAACUCAAUAAGGAAAAGACUAACAAACCCAAAAGGAAAAUGGGCAAAAGACUGCAGUAUGCAUCUCUCAAAAGAGGAUUUCUGAAGGAUCAUAAGCACAGAUGAAAAAUGUUCAGUUAGGUGGAUGGUUAUCUCAGUUGGGUAGAGUGUGGCACUAACAGCACUGACGUUGCGGCUUUGAUCCCCGAACAGGCUAAGAGGGGCAUUAGUCCUUGUAUUUAAUCAAAAUUAAUAUUUUUUAAAAGGGCUCAACCUUAGUCAUCCUGAGAAUGCAAAAUGAAAUCAGUGAGAUAUCAUGGCAGAAUCACAAAAAUGUCUAAAAUUACAAAAAUUAAAACACCAAGUGUCCCUAACGAUAUGGAGCAAAUGAACUUUCAUGCUAUGUGUCUGAUAGAAAGUAGAGGGGAUCAGUCUUUAUCUGUAACUUUCCACUGGAUUUCUUUGUAUUUUAAACCGGGAGUCUUUACUCAGUGUUUGAAGCCACGGCUGGCAGCAGAUGGCAGUAGAGCGCACACUAAACCCUUCCCCGGUUUUCAACGAGCGUGCAGGCUGGGGGCUGCCGAGCCCAGAGAAUGGCGUGCUUCUCCCCUCUCUUCACUACCUCUGCACCCCUCCUCGUUUCCACUGUCCCAGCCGGGGACUGCGCGUGCUCAGAUGAUAACGUGUACUACUCUAUAUGUAGUGCUGAGGUUUUCAGCUCAGGUUUGGGAACUGAAUGCUAAAAAUAGAAAUACACUUUCAUUGAUCUCCUAGAUAGAGGGUCAUAAAACAGGUCAUGUCUAAGGGGGAAACAAAAAACGAAUUACCUAAUUAUUAUGGAAUCUCUCUCCCC